GUUUGAUCCUGGCUCAGAUUGAACGCUGGCGGCAUGCCUUACACAUGCAAGUCGAACGGUAACAGGUCUUCGGAUGCUGACGAGUGGCGAACGGGUGAGUAAUACAUCGGAACGUGCCCGAGAGUGGGGGAUAACGGAGCGAAAGCUUUGCUAAUACCGCAUACGAUCUACGGAUGAAAGCAGGGGACCGCAAGGCCUUGCGCUCAUGGAGCGGCCGAUGGCAGAUUAGGUAGUUGGUGGGAUAAAAGCUUACCAAGCCGACGAUCUGUAGCUGGUCUGAGAGGACGACCAGCCACACUGGGACUGAGACACGGCCCAGACUCCUACGGGAGGCAGCAGUGGGGAAUUUUGGACAAUGGGCGAAAGCCUGAUCCAGCCAUGCCGCGUGCAGGAUGAAGGCCUUCGGGUUGUAAACUGCUUUUGUACGGAACGAAAAGACUCUGGUUAAUACCUGGGGUCCAUGACGGUACCGUAAGAAUAAGCACCGGCUAACUACGUGC
rnacentral:rRNA from 1 species